AAAACUCACCGUUAUAGCUCGUGAAGACGGUCGGCUUCAAUUCGGCACCCUCUCUUUCGGCCCCGAAAUGGCGACCGCCCGUUUCGCACGCCGGCGACUCCCAUCCUCCGCCGCCGUCCUCCUCCUCCUCCUCCUCUUCCUCGCCGCCGCGCCUCCGCCGGCCCACUCCCUCCCCUACUCCCAGUACAAAACCCUCUUCUUCUCCCUCGCCCACUCCCUCCCCGACUCCCAGUACAAAACCCUCUUCUUCUCCCUCGCCCACUCCCUCCUCCCCGACUCCCAGCACAAAACCCUCUUCUCCCUCGCCCACUCCCUCCCCGACUCCCAGUACAAAACCCUCUUCUUCUCCCUCGCCCACUCCCUCCCCUACUCCCAGUACAAAGCCCUCUUCUCCCUCGCCCAAUCCCUCGCCACCCGCGUCGCCAGCCUCCGUGCCGCCCGCGGCGACCUCGCCGGGGCCGAGCGCGCCCGUGCCAUCGCGGAGCUGAGCGAGCUGCUGGGCCUGGUGCUCCCCUACUCCCAGUACGAGGCCCUCUUCUUCCUCGCCCACUCCCUCGCCACCCACGUCGCCAGCCUCCGCGCCGCCCGCGGCGACCACGCCGGGGCCGAGCGCGCCCGGGCCAUCGCGGAGCUGAGCGAGCUGCUGGGCCUGGUGCUCCCCUACUCCCAGUACAAAGCGCUCUUCUCCCUCGCCCACUCCCUCGCCACCCGCGUCCCCAGCCUCCGCGCCGCCCGCGGCGACCUCGCCGGGGCCGAGCGCGCCCGGGCCAUCGCGGAGCUGAGCGAGCUGCUGGGCCUGGUGGAGGAUUUCGCGAGGGCGGAAUCGAAUGCGGAGAGGGCGAGCUGGAUUGGGAGGUACUACGAGAACGCCGUGCGGGUCUUGAAGUCGGUCUUCGCGAGGCUUCUCCGAGUGUUCAGCAAAUCGGGUCCACUGAGGGAGAUGGUAGAGACCUUGCGAAAGGAAGUGGUGGAUGGUGAUUUCUUGAGGGAUUGUCUGGAAUUGGGAAGUAAUGACUUGAAAGGACUGGUCCAAAUUUUGAAGGAUCUUACUUCUCAAUAUUACUCGUCAUCUGAUCAUCACCAAGAUCUCUAGAACAUCAUCCAGGACUUGUCUUUGGAACCAGUUUUGCUAUGAAGGUCCCUGGGUCAUCUCGUUACUCAUUCAUUCAAGGGUGGGAUCUUGGAUGGUCUAAAAAUUCUUCAAUGCUGUUUCAGUUACUGCCAUGACAGGUAUUACGCAUUGCUGAGUUUCCAACAAAUGACGGGCGUACAUAUACAGUCUUUGAUCUAGUUUUGUCUGACAUGGUAUUUGCUAUUCCUCAUUGACGAGUCUGUGGCAUUCAGAAUUACAUGAAUAGCUUGGAAAUGCAUUUGGGGAGAUGACCUCAGGAUUCUCGCCCCGAUGAGUUGCACGAGCACAUUGCUUUUUCAUGUCAAGACAUCUUGCUCCGAGUUAUGUGGUUCAUUUCCAAAAGCCAGGAUACAUGUUUUCAAAUCAAAAGUGACUCGGAGAUUGGUUUUCUUCACACGAGCACAUUCUAGGUUGUUAAUUCGUGUUCGGGAAUCAUGUUCUUGUUGGGUUGAGUUAAACAGUAUGCUGUGAAAUAGGUUACACGGCAUGUUCAGAAUUGUUUCCAAAGCCCAAACCCAGAUAGAAACCAUAGCCCAAACACGACCUGUGCAAUCAAUU